rnacentral:ncRNA from 1 species
ACAGGGGAGCUUGUGAUGCAGGCUGAGAGGAAGGAACCGACCUUCGACCCUUUAACCUGAUGCGGAUAAUGCCGCCGUAGGAAGUCAUUGU